UACGUAGGGUGCGAGCGUUGUCCGGAAUUACUGGGCGUAAAGAGCUCGUAGGUGGUUUGUCGCGUUGUUCGUGAAAACUCACAGCUUAACUGUGGGCGUGCGGGCGAUACGGGCAGACUGGAGUACUGCAGGGGAGACUGGAAUUCCUGGUGUAGCGGUGAAAUGCGCAGAUAUCAGGAGGAACACCGGUGGCGAAGGCGGGUCUCUGGGCCGAUGCUGACGCUGAGGAGCGAAAGCGUGGGGAGCGAACAGG
rnacentral:rRNA from 1 species